CGGCACCUUUUUCAGGCAUUUCAGACUAUAUCCAUCAGAAGAACCAGCGUGCCAAGGCUGCGGCAGCAGCGUCCCGAGAAGGUCCGCAGCCUGGGGCUGGCAGAGGCUGUCCUAGGGAACCGUGGAGGCAGUA